AUGAGGUGUAAUGGCGCCGGGAUGCGCUCUCCUCUUCUCAUUUGCCAAUUUAUUGCAGAUCCCUCCUCAAAAAAGUUUUGGGACUAACUCAGCCCCAUGGAGAUCAAGGUGGGUGGGUGACUUCUAGAAGAGGAAAAUCAAGAAGAUUUGGAGAAGGAGUCUUGGAAGCUCUGGUGAAGUUUUCCAAAACUGGGAAGGACAGAGUCUGCUCAGCCUGUGUUAGUGGAGAAGAGGGAAGGAAACUGGCUGGAGGCCGCUGGACCCACAGAGGACAAUAGACAAUCUCCUGCUGAUGCCCACUGGAUCCAAAGAGAGAAACUCUAUAGAAUUAUGAUCUAGGUUUGACUGACUCCUGGCAAGAAGCCCUACCCGCCAGCCAAUUUGGAUGAGCUCUUAUGCUCCAGAUCCAUCAUGAGAAGAACAUGCCCUGGAUUCCUGCUAUCCCUUUAGCCAUGGCUCCAAAAUUAACACACACAAGGAAGACCUGAGGUCAAUCCACAGCCUGGAUUCAAGUCACCUAAUACAUAGGAGAAUCAGAGCUACCCAGCCACACUCAAUCUACGUUAACUGAACCUCAGCUGACCUGCAGAUUUAUGAGUAUGAGAAUAAAGGCUUGUUAAUGUA
rnacentral:lncRNA from 1 species